UGUGUCCCAGAUCUGCAAGACACAAACACAAAACACCUGGUCCUUAGGAGAUGCUUGUAGGAGUGACAUGGCUCCUUUCUUCUCCCAGGCCACAGGUUGUGAUUGCCAUUAUCAUAUUGUUAUGGAUGCGGGAUCGGGGAGUGGAAACAUAAGCUAUGCUGGGAGACAUGGCCACAUUGCAGGAGAGCACAGUGCCUGCCUGCCUACCUCCACCUCCACAUGACUCCAAUUCCCUGAAACCUGGCUUCUGGCUAUUAAGGUUUGUCUGUGACCUGCCAUUUUUUGUUCUCUAUUUUCUGACCACCAGCUUCCUGUGAGCACACACCCUUGUUCAGGGACUACUGAAUGGAGAGUGAUGCCAUUUGGGGUAGGUUAAGUAUUCUCAGACUAGCUUCACCUGUAGGACUUGUUCUCACUCCUCUACUUUCCAUGUGCACGUUUUUACUUUGUGCAUUUUUUACCUCGGGUCCUGAACCUUCUGGCUGCUCCACUUGAAGGUCUUGGUCCAGUCAAGUACAACCUGUGUCCCUUAGAGUUCCCAGCAAGGCCCCUGUCGCCCGUGUCCUGUCCUAUCCUGUGGGCCUUCUGUGUAUCUACGCUACUCCACGGCUUCACUAUGAUGGCUUACAAAGCCUGGAGUGUCCAUGCACACCUACCCAGCUGUGCCCAGCACUGCACACUGACUUGUAGCUUUUCCUCAACAGUAUCAGAAACGUGAAUGGUAAAACAGCCAUCACUACUCCACUGGACCUGACAAUGUGCAACGCCAAUCCUGGUCUCCUUAGUGUAGGAGCCAAAUUCUUUUAUAUACAGCUCAAUGGAAAUCACUCGCUGGGCAUGUGUAAAGACAUGGGAAAAACGAGUGGGUGUGGCCUCACCCAGCUUUCUUUUCUGUUUCUUUUUUGCACAUCCUCUCUGCUAUGUCCAAUCUACUAAUAAGUGAAAUUUCCCAAGUUCUAGAAACUUAAUUCUUUUCUCCCCAAAUCUAUAUUGCCUAUUUGUUCUCUGCAGAUGUAAGGGUUUUUUUUGUUUUGGUUUUUUUGUUUGUUUGUUUUAAAUUAAAACCAAUGUACAGAGCUGGAGUCAGAGGUCUGUGGUAGAACACCUAGUCUUGUAGGAGGCUCUAGGCUAAGGCCCUAACACUGCCCAUCCCCUAAAGAGGGGAGGAGUUCUAAUAUGUUAACUGGGUCUGACAAUUCCUGCUGGUAUUCCUAGCACUUGGGAAGACACAGGUAAAACAAUUGCAAGAGUUUGAGAGUAGCCUGGGCUAUAUAGAGUAAACCCUCACCUGUAAAAAUAAAUCAAUUGUCAUGGAUGAGCCUAAACUAGCAGUGAAAGCGACCUGGCUCCUUUGUAAGUACAAAAAGCACUCUCAAAGACCAAGAAGGUCACCACUGGGUUCUUCUGUGUGAUGUAUUCCUUUUCUUAUCUUUUACUACAACCUGCAAAAACUCUUGACUCUGCGGGCUCACUCCAGACUCUGCACCAUCAUUCAGAAGUGGCUACCUCAUCCUGCUCUCUCCUGGACUCUUCUGUGCUUGGGUCUCCAGUGUGGCUCAUUUGACGCUAUCUGUGGGAUACACUGCAGCAGUGAGUGUGGCUCUCAAUCCUGGGCUGGGCGCAGAUGGUGCAGGUCUGUGCAACUCCUGUGUUUUAUCAGCACCUGUUUUCCUACUGCUGGAAAGAACACCAGCCUCACUGCCCUUCCUUCAAGUCACACAUUCUUUCUGGGGGCUCUUGGGCCUAGCAUUUGGCUUCCUACAGUCUUGAGUUCCUUUUUGUUUAAUUUGUUUUGUUGUUUUUCCAAAACACUGUCUUACUAUGUAGCUCUGAAUAUAUUUUCCUGUGUAGACCAGCCUGGCCUCAUAGAGGUCCACAGAACUGGUAAAGGUCUACCUGCCUCUGCCUCCCAAAUGCUGGGGUUAUUGGCAUGCGCCACUACACCUAGCCAGGCCUUCCGAACCCCUGCCCAAACCCUGCAGCUUACCCACACUUCUAGAGUUUAACGGUGCCUUUCACUUAUUUUGGUGUUUUUGCAUUCCCCAGUUUUUUUAAGUUCUAAAUUUUCCAUAUCCUCAUUUUUUAUAGCACUUUUUCCAUUUUGGUUUCUAUUCCUGUUUUAAGAAACGGUAGUCACUAUGAAGAUGACCUGGGACAUGAUUUCCUCAAAUGGCCAGGAACAUAUAUCCUCUCACUCCAAUUGUAAGUGUCCUACAGAGAAAUCUUACUUUUGUCAUUAAGGGCAUGUGUUUCUGUUAAAUUCUUUAAGAUAGAGGUCCCUAUUCUUUGAAGAGUAUAAACUUACAUUCUACACACAUCAAGUUGAAUCUAGGUGCACAAACCUUUAAUUUUAGCUCCUGGGGAGGCUGAAACAAGAGAUUUGCAAGUUCAAGUUCGUAUCAAAAUGACACCUUGUCUCAAGACACUCAUUUGAAAAGGUCUGGGGACAAAGCCCAACAGCAGAGCACUUAAGAGACUGUAGGUUCAAUUCCAAGUUCUCCGUUCCCUAAACACACCACAGGAACCACCACACAUGUGGACAGGGAGACAAUGGGGCAAUCUCAAACCUCUGAGUCCCAGAAGUCUUGCCACAUAUUUGGCCUGUCUCCCUGUCCUGCUUUUACAUUCUUUGUGGGGACUGGACAUGUGGUGUACAGUGUGUGUCUGCUGGGGAUGGAGUGGCGAGAAGAGGGUGUCUCUCAGUUCUGACUCCACACGUGAGUAGAAGCUUACAUCUCUACUCCUUCCAAAGUUAAAACUUAAAAAUCAUCCCAUCCCAACCCUCUGAGCCUAUCACAAUUUCACUUCCCUCUUUGUUCCAGAAAUGUCCUUUCCCCAAAUUUGGUGUCUUAACUUUCACUCAGGUAUUUUGAGUAUCUUCCAAUGUAUGUGCAUAUGUGCUAGGCAAGGCCGACUCACAUUACCCCCAUCCUAAACUGUGAGCCAAUUCAGAGUUCUUACCUUACAGCGCUUGCCUGUUUGUCUCCUGUCUCCCUGUUAUAGUGCUCGCCACAUAGAUGCAUCCCUUGUGUAUCUGGUUUUACUUGGGUUCUGGGAAUUUCAGCAUGGAUCCUCACAUUUUGCAUAGCAAGCAAGGGCUUUCUUCAUCCAUGGAGCCACCUCUCCUGCCCCACUUUUGUUUUUGUUGCUUUAGUUAUGUGUAUGCUUUGUGUAUGUAGUAGAAAAACCAGAAUAUAAAUUUCGAAGACCCUGUCUCAAAUGGUGCACACCUUUCAUCCUAGCAGUUAGGAGUUGAUUUCUUCUGAGUUCAAUGACAGCCAGGGCUACAAAGUGAGAUCCUGCCUAAGAAAACGGAUGGAUGGAUGGACGAACACCUGAAGUUGUUUUCUAACUGGCACACUCAUUCCUUGGUACACAUGUACCUGUAUACACACACACACACACACACACACACACACACACACACACACACACACACACACACACAUACACACACUACCACACCACACAAACAUGUACGGUGACUGACCUUAGUUUUGUUUUUGUUUUUGUUUUUUUUGGUUUUUCAAGACAGGGUUUCUCUGUAUAGUCUUGGCUGUCCUGGAACUCACUCUGUAGACCAGGCUGGCCUCGAACUCAGAAAUCCACCUGUCUCUGCCUCCCAAGUGCUGGGAUUAAAGGCGUGCGCCACCACUGCCCGGCCUGACCUCAGUUUUAACGUAAAACGCAACAACAACAACAAAAAAGAUGUUCUCCUGUU